UAAGAAUGAGGAAAGGCCUUGAUUUCUUGUCAAACAGAUUAAAAAGUGGUCUUAGUAUUAGAAAGACAAGAAGAAAAAGACUCCCUGACAACUAAUAACAACACAUUUCAAAUUGGAUAAUGUCGUCGUCGUCUCCCCCACUCUCGAGCUAAAGUCACCUAUCCCAGCUCUUAUUGACACCCACCCACCGGAUAGCCAUUAAAAAGUAGUUGACAUUUAGUCAGUUCGCCCUGGCUGGACCAAAUCUGAACCAAUCACAGACCGUACAGAACAGUAGAGCACUAGAGUAUAAUGUACUGUACAAAAUGGUCAAACAUGGACUUCUAUGAUUGGUUCAGAUGUGGUCUGGCCCGGACCAACCAAAUGUUGUCUUGUUUGAGGGCAGGGUGCAUUAGAAUACUGAAAUACACUAAAUAAGGAUAUUGCAUAUUUCCACCUUUGUUUAUUUAAUUUAUCAGAUGCUCAGACAUCUUCAGAUAGCUAGGUGGACCAGUCAUAGUCAGUACAUUCAUCUACAGAUAGCUAGGUGGACCAGUCAUAGUCAGUACAUUCAUCUCCAGAUAGCUAGGUGGACCAGUCAUAGUCAGUACAUUCAUCUCCAGAUAGCUAGGUGGACCAGUCAUAGUCAGUACAUUCAUCUACAGAUAGCUAGGUGGACCAGUCAUAGUCAGUACAUUCAUCUCCAGAUAGCUAGGUGGACCAGUCAUAGUCAGUACAUUCAUCUCCAGAUAGCUAGGUGGACCAGUCAUAGUCAGUACAUUCAUCUCCAGAUAGCUAGGUGGACCAGUCAUAGUCAGUACAUUCAUCUCCAGAUAGCUAGGUGGACCAGUCAUAGUCAGUACAUUCAUCUCCAGAUAGCUAGGUGGACCAGUCAUAGUCAGUACAUUCAUCUACAGAUAGCUAGGUGGACCAGUCAUAGUCAGUACAUUCAUCUCCAGAUAGCUAGGUGGACCAGUCAUAGUCAGUACAUUCAUCUCCAGAUAGCUAGGUGGACCAGUCAUAGUCAGUACAUUCAUCUCCAGAUAGCUAGGUGGACCAGUCAUAGUCAGUACAUUCAUCUACAGAUAGCUAGGUGGACCAGUCAUAGUCAGUACAUUCAUCUCCAGAUAGCUAGGUGGACCAGUCAUAGUCAGUACAUUCAUCUCCAGAUAGCUAGGUGGACCAGUCAUAGUCAGUACAUUCAUCUACAGAUAGCUAGGUGGACCAGUCAUAGUCAGUACAUUCAUCUCCAGAUAGCUAGGUGGACCAGUCAUAGUCAGUACAUUCAUCUCCAGAUAGCUAGGUGGACCAGUCAUAGUCAGUACAUUCAUCUCCAGAUAGCUAGGUGGACCAGUCAUAGUCAGGACAUUCAUCUCCAGAUAGCUAGGUGGACCAGUCAUAGUCAGUACAUUCAUCUCCAGAUAGCUAGAUGGACCAGUCAUAGUCAGUACAUUCAUCUCCAGAUAGCUAGGUGGACCAGUCAUAGUCAGGACAUUCAUCUCCAGAUAGCUAGGUGGACCAGUCAUAGUCAGUACAUUCAUCUUCAGAUAGCUAGGUGGACCAGUCAUAGUCAGUACAUUCAUCUUCAGAUAGUCAGUACAUUCAUCUCCAGAUAGCUAGGUGGACCAGUCAUAGUCAGUACAUUCAUCUUCAGAUAGCUAGGUGGACCAGUCAUAGUCAGUACAUUAAUCUUCAGAUAGCAAGGUGGACCAGUCAUAGUCAGUACAUUCAUCUACAGAUAGCUAGGUGGACCAGUCAUAGUCAGUACAUUCAUCUACAGAUAGCUAGGUGGACCAGUCAUAGUCAGUACAUUCAUCUACAGAUAGCUAGGUGGACCAGUCAUAGUCAGUACAUUCAUCUACAGAUAGCUAGGUGGACCAGUCAUAGUCAGUACAUUCAUCUUCAGAUAGCUAGGUGGACCAGUCAUAGCCAGUACAUUCAUCUUCAGAUAGCUAGGUGAGACAACCACAUAUCACAAUAUUUAAAUUUUUCUUCAAUAAAGUACAGUCAGAGCUAGGAAGAGGAGAAAGUCAAGUGUUAGUUAAUGGAAGGAACAUUAUUUUUGGGGGGUGAGGAGGAUGUUGUGGAACUGGUCCACCUAGUUGUGGA